GGUCGAAUAGUAUAGUUGGUUACCACGUCAGUCUGGUAUAACACACUGAAGAUCCCAAGUUCAAGUCUGGGUUCGAUCA